GGGACAUGAUGAGUGGUUAUUACCUGCAAUCGUUGCGAGAUGGGUGUCCGCCCCAACGCCUGGUUACGACAUUUGGGCACUCCCAACUCAACCACCUGAUCCC